rnacentral:rRNA from 1 species
AUGGCCGAAUGCUUCAAUAGGGUGCUCAAAGGUGCACGUGGAUUACCCGUGACGGCAAUAGUUCAAUACACAUUUGACAAGAUGAAUGCGUACUUUGUAAAGUACUCGAUGGAAACCGAUGCACAGAUAGCGGGUGAGAACCCACGGAAGUACAAGUACAAGUUCCCACCCAAAGUUGAUGAAUGGUUGCUAUUUCAAUCACGGAAGGCGGACUCAGAAGAAGCUAUAUUAUAUGACAAUGAGGAGUGGAAGUACGAAGUGAAAGAGCCAGGAGGAACCACAAACGAUGGCCGGCAACAUGGAGGUUGGGCUUUCAAGGUGUCGUUAACACAAUUUGAUUGCACUUGCGGGAGGCCAUUGUUGCUUCAUCUCCCAUGCUCACAUUUGUAUGCCGCCGGCCGCAUUAGGAAUGUGGACAUCAAUCACCCACGCACCAUGAGGGAGUCCCAGUUCUCAAUCAUGACGGUCAAGAAAACAUGGGCUCCCCGCUUUCACCCAUACUUUGACCAAUCACAUUGGCCGGAGUAUCAUGGAGUUCAACUAUGGCCGGAUCCGGAGUUGAAGGUUGUUAAAUGGGGUAGACGUAAGACAAAGCGUCUUAGAGGCGACAUGGACGGAUGGGGCCAUGGUGGGCGCCGCGAAGCGGGCAACGACCAAUUCCAAGAGCCUCGUGAGAGCUCCCGUUGUGGGGAGUGCAAAGGUCAUGGCCACAACAAAAGAAAAUGUACGAAACCAAGGAAAAGGUCCAAGAAAAAUGAUGCAAGCACAAGCCAACAUGGAGCUACACAAGGGAGCCAACCAAGUGGUAGCCAACCUAGUGGUCGCCAACCUAGUGGUAGCCAACCAAGUGGUAGCCAACAAGUGCGAAGCCAACCAAGUGGUAGCCAACCUAGUGGUAGCCAACCUAGUGGUAGCCAACAAGUGCCAAGGCAACCAAGUGGUAGCCAACAAGUGCCUAGCCAACCAAGUGUUAGCCAACCUAGUGGUAGCCAACAAGUGCCAAGGCAACCAAGUGGUAGCCAACAAGUGCCUAGCCAACCAAGAGGUCGGCAACUUGGACUUACAAGAGGCCGUGGUGGUGGUAGAGGUGGUGGUGGUGGUCUCGGCCGUGGUGGUGGAAGAGCUUGA